rnacentral:lncRNA from 1 species
GUUGAAUUUGACAGCAAAGUGUCAUGGUUCCAAGACAGCAUCUGAUUCCGGUUCCCUGCUGUGGGUCUGGUUUUGUGUGGUUGUAGCAGAAUUAUGAGAACAAGCCUCCCUCAAUUUGGGCUACACUGUCCACAGUCACAGAGCAUCUUCCAGAGAAGAAAACACCUGCAAUGAUGAGACAGAAGGAGAACGGUGGCAUCUCUCACUGUAAAGGAAAGAACACUGGGGCCACAAAGUGUCAUCAGCCAUGUUCCUCUCCAGUCCAAGGACUCCCAGACACUUAGUGUUCCAGCUCCUGAGUGAAAAUGUUAACCAUCAGCACACUCUCAAAGAUCACUCACUCUAGGAAGUCAGCUGCCAUGUCAUGAUGAUGCUCAAGCAGCCUUGUGGAAAAGCUUCACAAGGAGAGGAACUGAGGCCUCCUGUCAACAGCCAUGAGAGGGGGCUGUCUUAAAAGCAGAUCCUCCAUCCCCAGUCAAGCCUUCAGAUGACGGCAGCCCCUGUGGACAUCUUGACCACAACUUCAUGAGACCCUAAGCCAGAAACACUCAGCUAAACUGCCCUGGAUUUCUGACUCUCAGAAACUGUGAGAUA